rnacentral:rRNA from 1 species
GUGCGAGACCGAUAGCGAACAAGUACCGUGAGGGAAAGAUGAAAAGAACUUUGAAAAGAGAGUUAAAGAGUACCUGAAACUGCUGAAAGGGAAGCGAAUCGUAUCCAGUGUCUAUAAUCUGCGGCAUAUUUCAUUGGCGGCAGUGUGCGUGCUUUUGCGUCGGAAGCGGCUUUUGUUGCUCUGUGCUUUUGCUGUGCGUGCUGUUGCUGGUGCCCUGUGUUGCGGUGGGACGUCAGAGUCAGUUCGUAUGCUGCGGGAAAUGGCCGCCGAGGAGGUAGGUCAGGACUUCGGUCUUGGCUGUUAUAUCUUGGUGGUUUGUUGUCGUGGUUGGGACUGAGGUGCCUACAAUGUGCUUUUGAGUGUGCCGGGUUCUCAUUUGGUGGACUGUUUGGAUAGCUCGCUAUGCUUGUGGUUUUUUCAUCGAGUGAUUGAGUCUGGUGGUAACUUGUUGCUGUUCGGGACUUUGA